GAUGAACGCUGGCGGCGUGCCUAAUACAUGCAAGUCGAGCGAACAGACGAGGAGCUUGCUCCUCUGACGUUAGCGGCGGACGGGUGAGUAACACGUGGAUAACCUACCUAUAAGACUGGGAUAACUUCGGGAAACCGGAGCUAAUACCGGAUAAUAUAUUGAACCGCAUGGUUCAAUAGUGAAAGACGGUUUUGCUGUCACUUAUAGAUGGAUCCGCGCCGCAUUAGCUAGUUGGUAAGGUAACGGCUUACCAAGGCAACGAUGCGUAGCCGACCUGAGAGGGGGAGGGGCACCGCGGGAAUGGGGACCGGGCCCAGACCCGUAGGGGAGGCAGGAGUGGGGAAUUUUCCGCAAGGGGCGAAAGUUUGGGGGAGCAACGCCGGGGGAGUGAUGAAGGUCUUCGGAUCGUAAAACUCUUUUUUUGGGGAAGAACAAAUGUGAAAUUAACUAUGCACGUUUUGACGGGCCCAAAACAGAAAGCCGCGGCUAACUACGU
rnacentral:rRNA from 1 species